AAUUCGUUUUCUCAUCAUACAAAGUUCUGUUGUUCCACUGGCUGCCUUUUCACACUGGAGAUAUUUUGGGUUGAUGACCCUUCGUCUUGAUGCCAGAGUGAAAAAGAAACUGAAAAACCCUCAGAGAAGGAAGAAUCAGACUUCAACUGUCCAGACUCAGGACUGAUGACUCGGGUCAGUAGCUGUGUGAGGUGACAACUAGUGACAACUAAAAUAACAAAUUCCAUUCCCCCGCAUGCUCCAGAGUAGUGGUAUGACCCAAUUUGCAGAUUUCCACAUAGGCUUGCUCUGACUGUUUUCCACCUUUUAGCUCGUCAACCAAGGGACUGGGAGCAGCUGCCACUGAGAACAUCUGUGAGGUACACCUGAGGGGGAUCUUUGGUUGCCAGUCUUGAGGAACACCAGCACAUAUCCAAACAUGAAAGAUGGAAUGUUGUGGAGAAAAACGGAUGCGUGGUUGGCCCUGGCAGAACUCAUAGUUCAGCAACUGGAUUUCUGGAGCAGUGUCUACGCAAUGUCAUGAAAAAGGCUUCUUCUAUCAGGAAGAAGAAUUCACUAAAGGACCAAUAGAAGGUUUGUAUAUUUCUUGCUCUUGAACAUAUGCUGCUUCUCAUCUUGGAUGUCACACUCCUGAAAACAGGGGAGAAUCACGUGAGUUAUUUUCAGUUUCUUCUCUCAUGGAGUAGUUUAAUGCAAUCAAAAAUGAACAUAAGUAUUUUACAGGACUGCAGUGCAUUAUCUAACUGCAGAAAAGCAUUAGAUGAUGAACUAUACAACUAAAGGGUAAAUAGAAAAAUAAUUAGUAUAAAAACAAACAAGCAGAGGCACCUUUAUCUGAAGCACAAGCUCAAGAUUUUCAUCAAAGCCUCCUCACCCUGUGGUCUUGGGCUGAGGAGGCUGGAUUCUGUUGCAUUUGUACAGAACAGAACAGAAUCGUGUUUAUUGGCCAAGUAUAUAU